UCGAUAUUACGAUAAAAGCUUUUGUUGUUGAGUUUUGUAGUUUCAGUUUGUUUUGUUUUUGUUUGUAUUUUGUUGUCUGGGGGUACUGUUUUUAUUCAUUCAUCCAGCAGCAGCCAGCAGUCAGUGUGCAAGUGCAUUUCCUUUUCAAGUAAUUUUUCCAUCAAUGUCAUCAUCACGUUGUGGCCGGAAUAAAAAAAAAAAAAAAAAAUAGUUUCUAUAAGUCCUGUUUAAGGCUUCCCCAAACCGACCCAACAGAGUAGGUGUAUACUGAAUUCUGCCUUUUUAAAGUUUAAAUGAAAAUUUUGAGACAAAAAAAAAAAGUGGAAGAUGAAAAAAAAAAAAAUUGCAACAAAUGAAAAUCUCGUGCUCGGCACAAGAGUACCUCUACACGCUGGAAUAUUUUUUUUACAACUUCUCUGUUGUUUGUUUCAUUUUAUUUUUUAUUAUUGUUUUGUGUUGGUUGGGAGAGACUGAAUUUUUUCCUUUUUUUUAUUAUUUUUCUUAAACACGCUACUGUUUUGUGGUUCAACUCUGUCCUGACUGUUCUCGUUUGUCUGUCCGUCCGUCUCUGCUGCUCUUACGUACGUUUGUCAGCAGCGUAGAAGGUAUAUCUUUUGUGUGUACAUCCUCGACAACAACGACAAUAAUCGUGCACAAUCUCUGAAAAAGUAUUAAAGCCAAAAGGAGUGGAAAUAAGGCAGCCAGCAAACAUUAUAAAAAGGAGCAGCAGCAGCAUAACAGCACAACAGCCAGUAAAAGCCGUAUACACCAGGGGAAUAUAAGGCGAACAAAUAAAAUGCUCAACGAGAGAAAAAUAAGUGAGCAAAAAUACUACCAAACCAUCCAAAAAAAGUUUAUGGCUACCGUUUUGCUGUUGCAAGUUAUUUUAUUCUUUUGAAAGCGGCUUUCUUUGUGUCAUCGUUUGUUAUACUGGACGACGACUGGCGGCCGACGAUGCGGCAUAUACCGUGUGCCAUUCCUGCUGUUACUAUAUACUCCCCAAGUGCUGAUGCUGGCUGCUGCUACUCUUACUGCCCAUUUUCUUGUGAUGUUGCAUGCAGCAAAAAAACACAGCACAACGAUGGACUGUUGACUGUUUUGUUUGUUGUUGUUGUUAUUUUCUGUUAUUAUUGUUGAAUGGUGGACCAUUGGAAGAGGAAUGACAGUCAAUAUAGUGGGCUGUCUUUACGACCUGGAAAUCAGCAGGAAUCAGCAAAUGGUUUUACAACCAAAAGACGACACAAACAACGAAGAAGAAGCAGCGGCUAACAGAAGACAAUGUAAGCGCAGCGGUGAUGAUGGUGACGGCAAGCGAACAGCAGAGCGGCGAGAUUGCACAGGGAAAUAUUUGAAAAUGCACUCAAGCGAUUGAAUGAGAGAAGAGGAGAAGAGAAUUUUGAAAUUGAUGGGCGCUGUCGAAUGAAAAUAGAAAAGGGUGUAUUUUGAUUAUCUGACAGAUUGUUAGGCAUCUAAUUGAAAACAAAAUAAAAGGCUUUUCAACAUUGUCAUUCGCACUAACAAGCAACAUUUCUGUGGUAAAAAAAAACUGGGCUUUCUUUAUUUCAAUUUCUUAAAUGGCGCCCAACGUGAAUGAAAAAUUUGCAUUCUGAACUCAGAGAGUUUCAUUUAUAUUCACAAAUCGUAAUUAUUUAUUCUAUAUUACAA